AACGCUGGCGGUGUGCUUAACACAUGCAAGUCGAACGGGCAAGAGCUGUAGCAAUACAGAAUCUGCUAGUGGCAGACGGGUGAGUAAUACAUGGGAAUCUACCGUGCAGUGCGAAAUAACAGUUGGAAGCAAUUGCUAAUGUCGCAUAUAGCCGAGAGGUGAAAGAUUUAUCGCUGCAAGACGAACCCAUGCAGGAUUAGCUAGUUGGUGGGGUAAUGGCUCACCAAGGCAACGAUCUUUAGUUGGUCUGAGAGGAUGAUCAGCCACACUGGAACUGAGACACGGUCCAGACUCCUACGGGAGGCGGCAGUGGGGAAUAUUGGACAAUGGGCGCAAGCCUGAUCCAGCGACGCCGCGUGAGUGAAGAAGGCCUUCGGGUUGUAAAGCUCUUUUAGUGGGGAAGAUAAUGACGGUACCCACAGAGAAAGCCCCGGCUAACUUCGUGCCAGCAGCCGCGGUAAUACGAAGGGGGCUAGCGUUACUCGGAAUUAU
rnacentral:rRNA from 1 species